CUCAGUAUUUUUAAGGUAAAACACGCUAGUUUUCAACCAAAAAUACAAAUUGGUUCGCAGAGUUUUGUCAAUAAAUCAAAGGAAAAAUUAGGAAAGAAACUUGACAGAACAAAUGAUUUUAAAAGAGACCAGCAUUUGAAAGAGAAAAAACCUCAGCGACCCAAAAAAGAUGGCGAGCUUCUUUGGGAAAUUUAUCACGACCUGCAAAAAGAAAAAGUCGAUCUGCUAGAAAUCAGAGCAAAUCGACGAUGUGAACAAGAAGCACGCCACAAUGCUUUAAUUGAACAAGGCAUUCAGAAAAAUUUUCAAACAAAAUAUAACUUGGAUUUUCCUUUCUGCACUAAAGCAGAAUUUGACGAAUUCUCCGAAAAUCUUUUCACGAAUGAUGAUUAUCGAA